rnacentral:lncRNA from 1 species
AAGCAAAGAGGUCUUACUCAAAAGCUGACGAGCAAAUGAAAUGAUCUCAACGGAGUCUUGUUGAGGAUCCUAAGAACCUCUAUCUGCAUCAUUAAAAGAUGCAGGUCGAAUGACAUCAGUACAUUGAAUUGAUUCUCCUUGCUUAGCCGUUCAAGGAAAGCUUAGAGCGAAAUUAUGUCAAACCACAUAAAGAGUUUUUGUUUUUAAAUUCUAGGGGAAAAAGUUGCAAGCCACUAUUUAAUAAGCAUAUCGACACAUAGAAGGACUUCUUAAAGACAAAUAAGAGUUCCAGAUUGCUAAUGGGCUGUUGGAUCGGGUCAACCCUAACUACACUUCCGUGCACAAAGUGAUUAAACUAUCCAUUACAGACAACACAAUCAUAAAGGAGAGUGGCCGUGUUGUUUCAACACACAACUUCUCCGAAAGCUUUGUAUCUUUGGAACACGUGGAAAAAUUGCCAAAUGGUGACAUAUUCGGUAACUCUUCACAUGACUUAUUGAAAAUUCACUUUCUGUUACAUAAUACCUAUCACUAAUUUACCUCACCUUUAUUCAGACUUGUUUUGCGUGUUAGUUAUAGUGAAUCCUAUCAUUGUAAAAGGCAAUAGCAAAAGACGCGAAAUUGUUGUUACAAAUGAACUGUAAUUUGCCAUUAUUUCUUCUCUACCAUCCAUAUAAAUCUUCCAAUGCAUUCACAAUACUCGUCUAAUUGAUAAUCUAGCAUGAAGCAUACAACAACUACUCUAUGGGGAGAUUUUGCAGUAAAGGGUGGAGCGUUUCUGGAAAACUGAAGAUGCAUGUCAACAAUUGAGAAAAAAGAAGAUCUCAGACAAAUUUAUACAAACCUUUUCGCAACAUAUUCUAUGCAUUCAAGCAGAUAAACACCUCAGCAACUUCCCGUGCACCAAAUGUUGGUAGCCAUUGACCUCAAUUAAAGUGCACCUGGGGGUCUUUGCUAGAUUCUUGUUCUAAAGAACUUUUCUAACUGAAGCAGCUUGAAAA